CGUGUAGGCGGGUCGACAAGUUGGAUGUGAAAUGCACCGGCUCAACUGGUGCGCUGCAACCAAAACUGCCGAUCUUGAGUGUUGGAGAGGAUAGUGGAAUUCCUAGUGUAGCGGUAAAAUGCGUAGAUAUUAGGAGGAACACCAGUGGCGAAGGCGGCUAUCUGGACAACAACUGACGCUGAGGCGCGAAAGCGUGGGGAGCAAACA
rnacentral:rRNA from 1 species